CUGUAAAGGCAGACUUUAGUAUGAGACUAGAUUCUAUCUCCAGAAACAACAUUUAAGUUUUAUCCCUUAUGCAGAGUAUCCAGUGGCACAACAUUAGGAAUCCAUCAUCAUUAUAGUGGAUCACUAUCAUAUUCCAUUGAAAAUGCCUACUGGAAGUCAAGAUACAUUUGUUGCCUGUUGACCUAACCUGGAUCAUACUGCAUAAGGAUGCUACUGUUUCCAAAGCACUUUGACAUUUCAGAUAACAUAUUGGAAAAGGAGUAUAAUUUUUAAAGGAAGAGGCUUUUGUGAGAGCAUUGACAUUUAAAGGACAGCAGAGAAGAUCCUGAACAGAGACCUGAGUAUAAGCUACACAGAGAGCGGAAAAAACCUUGCGAAUUUCCUAGUAAAGCUCACCACUGGUGCAACUCAGUUAAAAGCCAGGUGGCAUGGGAGUCCUGCAGACAUAGCCCACCUCUGUCAGUGUCCUGAGUCAAGAGCAGGACUGGCAAGGUUGGAAAGUGGAUGUGGAGGAGCAAGGAAGAGAGAGCUGUAUUUAGAAGAGUUUGAAUUGUUUGCAGCAUACAUUGAUGAACAACCCAAAAAUAAGGAUCCUAAUACUAACUACAACAUUGGACUAAAGUGACUACAAUAACGUGUGCCUGCCAUUAACAAAAGCAUGAACAAAAAGCUGAGGCAGCUCAGAAGCUGGGAUGAGAUCUGCUUUGGUGAAUGAGGGACAAUUUCAUAAAGGAGGUGCCAUUGGAUCCGGAAACUGACGAAUAAAAAAGAGUUUAGCAGAUGAAGCGGAGUGGGCUAUACAAACAAAUGGGAUUAUGAACAUGUCGCAUAUGAUUAUGUAAUCAUGAGAACCUCAGUAUUGAACGUAAUUGAAUAUAGAGCCUUGAGAGGAAUGUUGGGGCCAGAAGUUUUAUACACACACACACAUUCACACACACACACAUUCACACACAUGUAAUACAAAAGAAUUAAUGCUUGCUGCCUUAAUGCAUACUGUCACAUAUUUAGAAAUAUUUUCUGCUUUUGGCACGAGGAGAGUUUUCUUAGUAAAAGUCCACCGAUAGUCCUGCUGCGCCUGUCUUUGCAUAACUCUGAUUCUGUGUAGGCGUAACUGUACACUCAAAUUGCAGCUAAUUGAUUGCGAAGCACAACUUGCUCUGGUUAAAGAAAUAGUUUAAUUCCAUAAAUAUCCAUAAAAGCUUGAAAUGAGGUAAGAAUCUCAGUGCUCACAUUCAGAAUCUCCUUAUUUUCCGUUAAAAACACAUUUGCAAUUUUAAGUCCCUUUACUUCCAGACAUAUGGUAAACUUAACGUCAGUCAUUCUUGAUGUAAUCCCCUCUCUGCAG
rnacentral:lncRNA from 1 species